CGGGAGCACCGCAGCCCCUACGACCCCGCCCUCGUGGCCGCCGCCGCGCUCCUAUUGGCCGGGAAGGCGCAGGGGGCGGGGCCUCGCUCGCGCGCGACGUCAUCAACGUCACGCACAGAUGCCUGCACCCCGGCCACCCCCCCCCGCUCCGGGUCCGGCAGUGGUUCUGCGCCGCUCCGUGGGGCGCUUUGAGCUCCUCCUGCUGCGAACGCUGCGCUUCCGCCUGGCGCUGCCGCAGCCCCACCGCUACCUGCUGCAGUUCCUGCUGGCCGUGGGGCGCUGGGGGG
rnacentral:lncRNA from 1 species